rnacentral:rRNA from 1 species
CAAGGAGCAUGCUACCAUGCAAGUCGUACGAGAAAUCCUGGGCAACUGGGAGAGUAAAGUGGCGCACGGGUGAGUAACGCGUGGGUAACCUACCCUUGAAUUGGGGAUAACUCUUCGAAAGGGGAGUUAAUACCGAAUAAUAUUCCAAUUCCUACGGGAGUUGAGAUCAAAGGUGGCCUCUGCAUGCAAGCUAUCGUUUAAGGGUGGGCCCGCGUACCAUUAGCUAGUUGGUAGGGUAAUAGCCUACCAAGGCAACGAUGGUUAGCUGGUCUGAGAGGAUGGCCAGCCACACUGGAACUGAGACACGGUCCAGACUCCUACGGGAGGCAGCAGUGGGGAAUCUUGCGCAAUGGGGGAAACCCUGACGCAGCAACGCCGCGUGGGUGAUGAAGGCCUUCGGGUCGUAAAGCCCUGUCAGGUGGGAAGAAACUUGCAGAUGUUAAUACCAUCCGCACUUGACGGUACCACCGGAGGAAGCACCGGCUAACUCCGUGCCAGCAGCCGCGGUAAUACGGAGGGUGCAAGCGUUGUUCGGAAUUAUUGGGCGUAAAGCGCGUGUAGGUGGUCGGGUAAGUCAGAUGUGAAAGCCUUCUGCUUAACAGAAGAAGUGCAUUUGAAACUGCUCGGCUAGAGUACGGGAGAGGAGAGUGGAAUUCCCGGUGUAGAGGUGAAAUUCGUAGAGAUCGGGAGGAACACCAGUGGCGAAGGCGGCUCUCUGGUCCGAUACUGACGCUGAGACGCGAAAGCGUGGGGAGCAAACACGAUUAGAUACCCUGGUAGUCCACGCCGUAAACGAUGGGCACUAGUGUAGGAGGUAUUG